GACGAACGCUGGCGGCGUGCUUAACACAUGCAAGUCGAGCGGUAAGGCCCUUUCGGGGGUACACGAGCGGCGAACGGGUGAGUAACACGUGGGUGACCUGCCCUCAGCUCUGGGAUAAGCCUGGGAAACCGGGUCUAAUACUGGAUAUGACUCCAUGACGCAUGUUGUGGGGUGGAAAGCCUUGUGCGGCUGAGGAUGGGCCCGCGGCCUAUCAGCUUGUUGGUGGGGUGAUGGCCUACCAAGGCGACGACGGGUAGCCGGCCUGAGAGGGCGACCGGCCACACUGGGACUGAGACGCGGCCCAGACUCCUACGGGAGGCAGCAGUGGGGAAUCUUGCGCAAUGGGCGAAAGCCUGACGCAGCGACGCCGCGUGAGGGAUGACGGCC
rnacentral:rRNA from 1 species